rnacentral:misc_RNA from 1 species
AAAAAGUUCAACCAAAAAAUGUGCAUUAUAUAAAAUACAAAACAUAGGAUUUAAACUUUACAAAUUUCAAUUUUGGAUUGGAACGAAUAUUGGCAAUAGAGAAAUGUGUAAAAAAUAUUUACAAAUACAUUUUAUGCCACUAUCUAUUUCAUUUAGCACAUAAAGGCUCUCUAUCUUACAAAAAUUAGAUAUAUGAAAUUUGCAUUGAAAAUCAAAACAAGUCGGUCCCUAAUCACAUUUGCUAUAAAGCAAUAGAAAAGGGCUGAAUACAUCCUACUAAAAUCAAACCAAAGAACUGAUCAAACUAAUAAAUAGGUUGUGGCACUAACCUUAACAGGUG